CAAAUCUUAGCGGUGGAUCACUCGGUUCGUGGAUCGAUGAAGAACGCAGCUAGCUGCGAUAAAUAGUGCGAAUUGCAGACACAUUGAGCACUAAAAAUUCGAACGCACAUUGCGCCAUCGGGUUCAUUCCCGUUGGCACGUCUGGCUGAGGGUCGAAG
rnacentral:rRNA from 1 species